GGCGAACGCUGGCGGCGUGCUUAACGCAUGCAAGUCGAACGAUGAAGCCGGAGCUUGCUCUGGUGAAUUAGUGGCGAACGGGUGAGUAACACGUGAGUAACCUGCCCUUGACUCUGGGAUAACUGCUAGAAAUGGUAGCUAAUACCGGAUACGACCCUCGGAGGCAUCUCCAGGGGGUGGAAAGAAUUUCGGUCAAGGAUGGACUCGCGGCCUAUCAGCUAGUUGGUGAGGUAAUGGCUCACCAAGGCGACGACGGGUAGCCGGCCUGAGAGGGUGACCGGCCACACUGGGACUGAGACACGGCCCAGACUCCUACGGGAGGCAGCAGUGGGGAAUAUUGCACAAUGGGCGCAAGCCUGAUGCAGCAACGCCGCGUGAGGGAUGACGGCCUUCGGGUUGUAAACCUCUUUUAGUAGGGAAGAAGCGAAAGUGACGGUACCUGCAGAAAAAGCACCGGCUAACUACGUGCCAGCCGCCGCCGUAA
rnacentral:rRNA from 1 species